UAAGGAAAAUGAGAUUCAGAUAGAUUUGCUUAUGUCACAAUGACACUUCAUAUGGAGCCAAGACUUCCUAUUAGAUCUCUCUUGAUUCAACACUCUGCUAUAUUCCUCCAUGACUCUGAAGAUGGUGGUGAAGGAAAAACUUUCAGAAGGUUUACAGUUGUAUCCAGUGACAAAAUAGAUAUAAUUCUACAUUUUCUCCAUUAGUUGAAUAAAGCUAAAUAUGAAUAAAUAACUGCUUUG